UUUAGAGGAAGUAAAAGUCGUAACAAGGUUUCCGUAGGUGAACCUGCGGAAGGAUCAUUAUUGAAUUUUUGAAGGAGUUGUCUGCUGGCCUCUAGCGGGGCAUGUGCACGCUCCGUUCAAAUCCAACCUUCAUACCCCUGUGCACUUUUUGUAGGGUCGUGGCCGUGAGGCUGCGCCCUAUGUUCAUCAUAAACUCUUUAGUAUGUGUAGAAUGUUCAUUGCGUGUAACGCAUCUUUAUACAACUUUCAGCAACGGAUCUCUUGGCUCUCGCAUCGAUGAAGAACGCAGCGAAAUGCGAUAAGUAAUGUGAAUUGCAGAAUUCAGUGAAUCAUCGAAUCUUUGAACGCACCUUGCGCUCCUUGGUAUUCCGAGGAGCAUGCCUGUUUGAGUGUCAUGGAAUCAUCAACCCUUAUCUUUAUUGAUGAGGGCUUGGACUUGGAGGCUUAUGCUGGUCUUUCUAUCAUUGAAAAAUCAGCUCCUCUUGAAUGCAUUAGCUUGAACCUAUGCUGUAUCGGCUGUUCGGUGUGAUAAUUGUCUACGCCGUGGCUGUGAGGCUAUAAACAUGUAGGAUCAGCUUCUAACCGUCCUUCGGGACAACAUCUUCAUUGACCUCUGACCUCAAAUCAGGUAGGAUUACCCGCUGAACUUAAGCAUAUCAAU
rnacentral:rRNA from 1 species